UGUCAUCAUUGUUUCUGAAGAAGCCUUUUCUGCGAUAGGAAAUAUUUUUUCAAUGCAUAUUAUAUACUGCUUUGCAGUUGUGCAUCUAAUGUGAAGACUACAGGCCAAACUGUUAAACUGUUCUCUUGGGAGGGCGCGAGCAUGGAUAGUACCAGCAAUAUUGCACGGAUUUCUCGCAUUUCGUUUCUCGAUACAGGGUGACAACCAGAUUCCUUACUAAAAUAAAAUAAAUCAGGAAAGAUGUAA